GGUGGCGACCGGCGCACGGGUGAGUAACACGUAUGCAACCUGCCUGUAAGAGGGGGAUAACCCGUUGAAAGACGGACUAAUACCGCAUAAUACUGAAUAACCGCAUGGUUAAUUAGUUAAACAUUUAUGGCUUACAGAUGGGCAUGCGCAUGAUUAGCUAGUUGGUGAGGUAACGGCUCACCAAGGCAACGAUCAUUAGGGGUUCUGAGAGGAAGGUCCCCCACACUGGUACUGAGACACGGACCAGACUCCUACGGGAGGCAGCAGUGAGGAAUAUUGGUCAAUGGGCGAGAGCCUGAACCAGCCAAGUCGCGUGAAGGAUGAAGGUUUUAUGAAUUGUAAACUUCUUUUGCAGGGGAAUAAAGUACGGUACGUGUACCGUUUUGUAUGUACUCUGCGAAUAAGGAUCGGCUAACUCCGUGCCAGCAGCCGCGGUAAUACGGAGGGUCGGGGGCGUUAUCCGGAUUUAUUGGGUUUAAAGGGUGCGCAGGCGGGUUGAUAAGUCAGCGGUGAAAGUUUGCAGCUUAACUGUAAAAUUGCCGUUGAAACUGUCGAUCUUGAGUGCAAAUGAGGUAAGCGGAAUGUGUUGUGUAGCGGUGAAAUGCUUAGAUAUAACACAGAACACCGAUUGCGAAGGCAGCUUACUGGGAUGCAACUGACGCUCAUGCACGAAAGCGUGGGGAUCAAACAGGAUUAGAUACCCUGGGUAGUCCACGCAGUAAACGAUGAAUACUAACUGUUUGCGAUAUACAGUAAGCGGUACAGCGAAAGCGUUAAGUAUUCCACCUGGGGGAGUACGUUCGCAAGAAUGAAACUCAAAGGAAUUGACGGGGGCCCGCACAAGC
rnacentral:rRNA from 1 species